AGUUCCCAGGCCAGGGAUCUAAUCGGAGCUACAGCUGCAGGCCUACAUUACAGCCACAGCAACAUGGGAUCCAAGCCUUGUCUGCAACCUACACCGCAGCUCACAGCAAUGCCAGAUCCCCAACCCACUGAGCAAGGCCAGAGAUUGAACCCACAUCCUCAUGGAUGCUAGUCAGAUUGGUUUCCACUGUGCCACAAUGAGAACUCCCUUAUACAGCUUUUAUAAAAUUUUCUCUUUUAGUGAUUUGGAAAAAUGCUUGUGUGAAAAAAAAUCAGGGUACAAAACUGUAGGUUUAGAAUGAUCUCAGUUUUUAAGGGAAAGAGAAUGUGUGAGGAUGGAUAAAGGAUUAGAAAGAAAUACACAAGGAUUUAACAGUGAUAGACAAAAGGGAGAAACUCACUAUUCUUCAUGCCUGGCAAAACCAAGAAGGAUACAUCAACUUUUUAAAGGGGUACAAAAGGCAAAGAAAUUUUCUCUGGCACUCUAGAGGAGGAAGUGUAGAGAAGGGGAAGAGUGAGAGUAUAGGGUCAUCAGAUCUCACAGAGCCCUAAAAAGCUGCACAUCUGGAGGGCGAGAGACAUACGCAGGCGACACAGGAAGAUCUGCCUGCGGGAGAGGGUUCACAGAUGCGGGUGAGCGGGGCAACAGCCAGAGGCAGAUCUGAGGCUGUGGGCUUGAAGCCUAUACCAUUUGGGGGUCCUUUUGAGGGUAAAUAAUACAUUUUAAAUACAAAAUUAGGCACAAUGCCUUUAUUUAGAAUGAACAAAGACAGGGUCAUACACGUAAAAGUUUUAAGCUGAUAAAUUCUACACACACCACCAAGAUACAGAAAAAUAAUGUUUCUAAAAACUAACUGCAACGAUCUGCUGACCCACCUCUACCAUAUGGCUCUUCUAUAAUAGCCAUCUCUCAAUGUCUUUUUUCUUCAUAUUUUUUGGCUGCAUAGUCCUUGAUUACGUCUUCCCAGGACAAUACUUUUUACAAGAACUGCAAGAGCUCAGGGAACACUGCUGCCACGAGCUUUCAGUGGAAAUUUGUAGGAGGUGAACUACAGCCAACCACAUGCUGACUGGGGAGACCAUGGCAAAAGGACAAGAGGGGCCACUCUGAAUACGCUAAGACCACAACAAAUUGGAGUACUAUAAGUUAGAAAAGGGAAAAUAAACUGAAGAGGAGCAGAAGAAGAGAUUAAUAAAAAUAAAAGCAGAUAUUAGUGAGUUAGAAGAUUGAACAUAGAAUAAAUAGAACUAAAAGCUUUUUUGGGAGAAAGACAGUUAAUCUGCUGGCCGACUUAAUCAGGAAAAGGGGGGAAACAGUAAAUACACAAGAAAGAAAUGUUUUAAGGAAAUAACUACCAAAUCGAAGCAAACUAAAAGAACCAUAAAAGACUACUUUGCUAGACUCAAAAUAAAUACAUUUGAAAACCUAGACGAAUGAACAGUUUUUGAAGAAAAUAUAAUUUACCUAAACUGACUCCAGAAAAAGAGAUAAUAUAAACAGGCCAGUUUCCAUGGGGGGAAAAAUGAGGCAAGUUGGACAAAGAGCCUCAUCUUCUAAAAUCUACCACAUCCAGCUGAUUUCAUAUAGAAUUUUCACCAAAUUUCAAAUAAUCGAGAGUCCCAAUGUAAUUUAAAUUAUUCUAGAACACAGAAACAGAAUAAAAGCUUCUACAUUUUCUGAUAUGAACAGAAACAGAAUGCUGCAAAGAUGUCAGAAAUAAAGUCACAGACCAUCUCUUACAAACACCGAUAUGAAAAUCCCAAAUAAGAUGUUAAACUGUUGAGAGUUUACCCAAGCGACUCCGUGGUAUUACUGCUUUGGCAUCCAUUUCGUUCUGCUAAGCAGUCUGCAUGGACCUUAAACUGACACUAGCCCCCUCAUGCAAGCACAUGCCCUAGACAGCAGCUGCAGUCACAUACAAAUGUAAAUUCCUAAUAUGACCUCCCUAAUAGCCCUUGUGAUCCAUAGUCUCCCAAGGCCUGUCUGCCUUAUGAGCCAUUUCGAUAAGCCCCCUGUGGGGCUUACCCAAACCCUACUCCUCUAAGCUGAAUCAACAAUCAGGCCCCAGCCUAAGAACCCCAAGCACUCUACCCACAGACCCUAAUAAAGCCAUGUGUCCCAGGUCCUGCCUCUCACUGUCUGGACUCUGCAUUGACCUUGCCACAUGGCCCCCUCAGGUAUACUGUGUACUUCCACCAGGACCUGUGAGUAAAUUACCUAUCUAUUCCAAUUUCUCUUGCAGUCUGUUGUUGAACUAUGCUCACCAUCUAGCACCCUGUGCUCCACUUAACAAAUUUAAAGAAGUCAUAGCAUAAACAGAAUCCAGGUGGAGUUUAUGCCAGGGAUAGAGACAAUUUAAUAUUAGGAAAUACAUUAAUAGAAUUCAUCAUGUUAACAAGUUUAAGAAGAAAAAGUACAGGAGUUCCUGCUGUGGCACAGUAGAUUAAUGAUCUGGUGUUGCUGCAGCUGUAGCCUAGGUUGCAGCUGUGGUUCAGAUUUGAUCUCCGGCCUGGGAACUUUCACAUGCCAUGAGUGCAGCCAAAAAAGAAAAAGAAAGAAGAAGAAAAAGCACAAUUCAACAGCUAUUAUUGAUUAAAAUAGUCAAUGAUGUAACAAUAAAUCUAAACCUACUAAAGAAAUACAAGAAGCAUCUUCAGCAAAGUUAAGAAUAAGACAAACAGGAGUUCCCAUUGUGGCUCAGCAGGAAUUAACCCGACUAGUAUCCAUGAGGAUGCCGGUUCACUCCCUGGCCUUGCUCAGUGGGUUUAGAUCCAGCAUUGCCAUGAGCUGUGGGGUAUGUCGCAGAUGUGGCUUGUAUUCUGAGUUGUUGUGGCUGUGGCUGUGGCCAGCAGCUGCAACUCUGAUUUGACCCCUAUACCGGGAAGUUCCAUGUGCCAGGGGUGUGAUCCUAAAAAAAAAAAAAAAAAAAAAGAGGGAGAGAGGGAGACAAAGAAACACUGAUUUUAUUCUUAUUUAAAUUUGUACCAGGAGUAGUAGCCUAUAUAAUUAGACAAGAAAAAGAAACUAGGGCUAAAAAGAUUGAUUAGGAGGAGGCAAAAUUAUCAGGUGAUAUGGUUACAUACCUUGAACACCCAAAAGGAAGAAAAAGCUGCUAAAAGAGUAAAAUAAUUUAGAAAAAUAAUUAGGAAGAAAAAUUAUACAGAAGUCAGUGAAUUUCAUAUUUAUCAAUAAUAGCCAGAUCAAAGAUAUAAUGGAAGAACCCAUUUACAAUGGCAAUGAAAAGAUAAAAUACACAUAAAUUAUUUUGAGAAGUAUAAAAGUUACUUAUAAAAAUAUUUAAAAUAUUUCUAAAGGCUCCGAAAGAACACUUGAACAAAUGUAAAGUCAUGCUGUGUUCUUGGAUUGUGUACAUUUAACAUGACCUGAAUAUAAGUAUCAAUAGUUUCACCUCCUUGGAACUAGACAAAUACCUACUUCCAAGAUUUCAUGCUGGGCUUCAGGAGGAAUGCAAACAUUAGCCAAACAAGAAUUGUUCUGUACCAUAUUACAUGUGACCUCAUAUACUGGUUGAGAAUCUCUUGCGAUUACUAUAAAAAUACUCGAAAAUUACAUAUAUAUAUACAUAUAUGUAUAUAUAUGGCUAUUAUUGAUAAAUAUGAAAUUUACCGACUUCUGAAUAAUUUUUCUUCCUAAUUAUUUUUCUAAAUUAUUUUACUAUUUCAGCAGUUUUUUCUUCCUUUUGGGUGUUCAAGGUAUGUAACCAUAUCACCUGAUAAUUUUGCCUCCUCCUAAUCAAUAUAUAUGUAUACUGAGACUCAGAAAAGGCAACUAGAUUUACCAACAAAGAGGUUACUGCUGACCUUCAAGAAAGCAGUUUCCAUAGAAUAGUGAGUCUGAAAAACAGUCAGCAACUGUUACCAAAAGCCAUUCAUUUCAGUGCCAAAAGAGAGGCACAGAGCUUCUCACCUGAUCACAGGGAGCUGAAAUGAUGAAAAAAACUGACCUUCCUGCUCCAAAUAUAUAACUAAAUUGGAUGAAAUACAUCUAGACACAAAAAAAUCCCACACAGCCACAUUCAGAAUAAGAAAGGGAAAUCCUCAAGGCAUCAGAAAUAAAGAGGAAAUACAAAGGGUGCUGGCAUAAAGCUGAAAGUCUUAUGCUGGUACAAGACCCUAAUGAACCCUGCAAAGAUGAUACAAAUGCAAUUUUAAAACAGUCCACAAUUGAGAGUAUAGCUCACCCCCUUCUAGGCUGAAAGGGAGCUGGACCUGAGGAGUUUUCUUAGCAACAACCCAGAAGUUUUAGGAACUGGUGGGGACUACUCAGUUGAUAUUGUAUUCAAAAACAAAAGUUAACAUUAAGCUUGGCCCACCCCUGGAGAAACACGUAGCAUCUCAGAAAGAAGAAUUUAGAAUCUCCCUGUCGGUACAAAAGAGUCCCAUUGAACCAGCUACACUCCAAAAUUGUAAAGCAUGGGAGAAAUACCGAACCAUGAGCUGGCAUCAGCAGUCAAAAUAAACAAGGGAAUUCACACCCAGGUACAGCAGAUGAGAAAACGCUAGGAGAAAAUAAAAACAAAAACCAGAAAGGAAACUUGGCAGCAGGGAGAUAGGCAACUGGUUCCAGUGAAGGUUUGGGUGAGAUCUGAGUAAUACCUGUAUACCACACACCAAAAUUGAAAAAAAUUAAGUGGGAGAAUGAACACAGACUGAGCUAACUAUGUGCCAGCCACUCUCCUAAAAUGUAGCUUUCUCAUAUCAUUCCCACUACCACGCUGUGGGGUAAAAGUCAUGAUGCCCAUUUUUUUUUUUUUCACUAAGUCUGAGAGUUUCACUUCCCUAAGAUCACAUAACUGGAACUGGAUCUGGAAUCUCAAAACUAGUAA
ensembl:lncRNA